rnacentral:tRNA from 1 species
GGAGACGUAUCGAAGCGGUCAUAACGGGGCGCACUCGAAAUGCGUUUGGCGGGCAACUGCCACGAGGGUUCGAAUCCCUCCGUCUCCGC